ensembl:lncRNA
AUUGUCAAGAGUUCUGGGCUGCUGUUUCUGAAGUGUGUUGCAAGGAUUCCAUUGGCUUCUGUCUUCCCUACAACAGCACCCCUGGUGUCCCUUCCACUAGUGCAUAUAUUGUUUUGGCUGCCCAGCAGAUAUAGAUUCUUCAGAGAACAAAAGUUACUGGUGUUCUACCUCACUUGUGGGACUCCUCCUUCCCUGAUAUAGUAGUUGGCACGAUUCAUGUUCCUGGGUUCUGCCAUGUUACCACCAGCCCCAUGUACCAAGCUCUAGAUUAAGGAGUUGGGGGAAAGAAACCUUCUCUGUUCAGUUGUGGAUGGUGGUGGUGUCAACUGGAGUCUGGAGAUAUUUUAAUAGACAACUACAGCACUCAUCUUUUCUGGGUUGCCCUUUAAGUAAAAGCUGUGAGUAGAAAUGAAAUGUUGCUGUAGAUAACUUAAUUGACUUUUACCAUUGCCUGCUUCCUCACCGCCUUCGAAGUACUCCAGGUUUCAGGGGAAAGGAGAAACUUCUCAUCAAUUUAUUGGAUACUGCCCUAGACCUUUAAAGCCCACGACAUCAGAGGUAGAUGUUCCAGUUGAAGCUGAACCAUCCUGCCAAUAUUCCCUUACAUUUUGUUGCUGUGUGACAGAUGGCAGCAGAGGGGCACUCUGACAAGAUGACAUCUGACAUGGAAGUGUGUGUGGAGCAAAGGUACCCCAUUGCUCAAGGAAAUUCAAGACCUGCCGUAAUUCUACAUCCUUGCUUGUUCGUGCACAUGUGAAUGUUUGAUUUUGCACUGCCCUACCUUGCUUUCCUGUUCUCCUAGUCUUGGUCAAAGACAUUGCAAGCAAACUCCAUUAGUGUUUAUCAGAAAUCACCUGGAACCAAGCAGCCUAUUCUGCUGUGUAUCUGGGUUAUGAACAGCCUGCAACAAUGAGCUCCCAAUUCCUUGCACUGCCUGUGCCGGGAGGUAUUGUAGCCUCUGUGUCUGCCAAAAGCCUUAGCUGUUACAGUCUUGCUGAGUUUUCUCGUUCAACAAUAACAGGAUAGGGAAAUAAAAACAAACAAACAGUAUUAAAGAAAUACCUGUAGUAGAAAACUGUUAUUGGAAUGGAGUUUUUCCUUUACAUUGUUUCCAUGAAUCUGGGAUAGUGAAGAGAAUGAUAUUAACAGCAGUAUAUACCACGAGCAUUACACAGAAUUCAUGAAACAGCACUGGAAAUGAAUUGCUAGUUAAAGGAACGUUUCUGAUGGUUUGGAUUAGAUUAAAACUGAAAUCAAGGUGUAUUUGUCAGAGUUGAGUUUGAGGCUUCUCAGAAGCUUUUUGACAGCAUUCUUUUCUGAGCUGUUUCUGUGAAUGACAUUCUUUAAACCCAAAUGAAAGUAUUUUGAGCUUAUGUGAGACAUUCGUAGCAUUAGUGGUACAGAGUAUUGUGAAUUUAAGCAGCUGUUUUGCGAAGUUAAAGAACUUGGCUAUUUCCCAAUACUUUUUUCACAGAGUUGAUGAGCUUAGCAUACCUUAUGGAUGGAAUUCCAGCAAUAUUAAAUUUUGAUCCUUUUUAUUUUCCUUCUGUAAAUUAAGCCCAAUAAAAAUGUUUGAAACUG